AUUUUCUACUAGCCUUUCUUAACAUUUCAUGCUUCUAGUUGAAAACCAUACUUCAAUUUUGAGUAAUUAUACUUCUUUCAGAAGAUGAAUCAUGAUGAUCCCUUUGAUCUCAAAAAGCCAAAGAAAUCAGAGAAAAAGGGAAAAUGUCCUAGCAUGAUGAGAAAAUAGCGAACAGUGCUAUUGCCUCACAUAGAGAAACCAGUAAGGAGAAUGAUGCAUUUUCAGGGAAAAUGUCCAAGCAUGAUGAGAAAAUAGGGAACAGUGCCAUUGUCUCACUUAGAGAAGCCAGUGAGGAGACUGAUGCAUUUUCAGGGAAAAUGUCCAAGCAUGAUGAGAAAAUAGGGAACAGUGCCAUUGUCUCACUUAGAGAAGCCAGUGAGGAGAAUGAUGCAUUUUCAGGGAAAAUGUUCAAGCAUGAUGAGAAACUGCGCCAUUGUUUCACUUACAGAAGCCAAUGUUGAGGAUGAUGCAUGUUCAGGGAAAUGUCUAAGCAAGGGACAGGAUAUUGCAGUCAAUGACUGUGAUUCAUCUUAUAAUGCAAAAGUUGGAGAUACGCUCCUGCAGACAGUGACACUGAUACAGAAGAUGUGAAGGAUUAUAUGCUUUUAGGUAUGAACAAAGUUGUGGUCAACUACAGAAGAAAGACAUCAGAAAUGGAGAGAGAAAAAAAGAUCUCAGUAAAAGAGAUCAGCUUGUAUUUCAGACAUUCUUUUCUGUAAAUUUUGACACUUUACCUGAUUGUUACUACAUGUGUAUAAAAAUCCAUGUCGUUUUGAAAGAGAGAGUGAGUGAUCGACUUGACAAGGAAUUCACUUGACAAGGAACUGGUGUUUAACGAAUAAUGAUGAAACCACAGUACCAAUAAUGAUUCAUCACACUUGUCAGAAAGGUCUCUUUUAUAUAGUUUAUACUGACAAAAUUUUGGUCUGGUUUCCAACAUUGCAAACAUACUUUGUAAUAUGGAAUACAUGUAUAUAGCUUUAAAUCAAUUUCAUUUAUUUAUUUUUUUUAGUGAAGGACCCUGAUUAUGAACCAGACCACUGCUCCGACAGUGAUUCAGACUCUAAUUGAAGAAAACCAAGAUGAUCUUCCUGACAGUUUUAGGAAAGUGACCUCAUGAUAGAAGUUUCAGAAUGUCCUACCAUUGAUCCUGGAAGUGAAAAAGUAUCUGAUAGUGAAGAAAGCUACGGUAGCAUAGAGAGUGAAAACUAUCCCAUGCUCUCUGGAAAGAAAGAAAAAGACAUUUCUUUUUAAGCCAUAAGGUGUUCCCAAAAAUUCAAUUGGAAACUUUAACAAACUGCAUGCCUGCUUUUUUGUGAUAAGAUGAUUGCUAACAUUGCAAGACAUCUUGAACUAGCACACAAAGCAGAAAUUGAAGUAGCUAGGGUUUUAGCUUUCCUCCCAAAAAGUAAAGAAAGGGGAUAAAUGAGGGAGGAACUUCAAAGUAUUAAUGUGUGUAUUAUGUAUAAAUUUAUUUGAUGUAAUCACUAGUAAAACCGAUUUUGCUUAAUAUACAUUAUUUUCUAUGCACUGCAUAAUUAUGUAGAUGCAAUAACUGGGACUUAACAUUUGAAAAGAAGUUGUUUGUGAUUCUUUGCAAUUGUACGAUGAACCCGUAAGUUACAUCAUUAAAUAUAAUGCUAGAUUCAA